rnacentral:rRNA from 1 species
CCCUUAGAUGUUCUGGGCCGCACGCGUGCUACACUGAGUGGAUCAGCGGGUCAGGUUGCGCGAAAGUGUUUCCUGAUCUUGAAAUCCGCUCGUGAUGGGGAUUGACGGUUGCAAUUUUCCGUCAUGAACGAGGAAUACCUUGUAAGCGCGGGUCAUCAUCCCGCGCUGAAUACGUCCCUGCCCUUUGUACACACCGCCCGUCGCUCCUACCGAUUGAGUGGUCCGGUGAGGCUUUGGGAUCUGAGCAAAGAGAGCGUUUCGCUCGUUUUGCCCGGAAAACUCAGUCGAACCUUAUCAUUUAGAGGAAGGAGAAGUCGUAACA